rnacentral:lncRNA from 1 species
UCCCGCGAGGACAAUUAUUUCUGAAGUGGUUACCUCUACUAUGCCUGCUGCCACUGCCCAUUUCGCUCUGAACCUGCCUGCUGGAUUCCCGUGGGGAAUGCCUCCUAAUUUGGUGCCAGAAGGUUUCACUCCUACCUUUGCUUCCAUGCCGGCAUCUAGCCUGGUCAUGUCUGUGCCACCUCUAGUUGUGCACAUUUUGCC